UCCCUGGCAGUCCAAUGGUUAGGAUGCAGCACUCUCGUUGCUGUGGGCCUGGGUUCAAUCCCCGGUCAGGGAA